ACAAAGUGUGUUUAGUUUAUUUCAAAAUAAGAAGAAAAAGAUAAACUUUUAGGUCAAAAAAUCUUGUAAUAUAUAAUAUUAGUAAGUUAAUCUGUAUACCAAUAGUCAUAAAAAGUAAUUUUAAAUAUUUUCUCUGGAAGGGAACCACAAAAGUCAUAACACAACCCUGGCUCAGCCCUCCACCUAGCCCAAGGUGAUAACCUUGGAAACCUUUUAUUGAGACCCUAGCACUUCAUAGUACACUACCUAAGAAUCACCACACUCUCCUAAGGGUUGUUAGAUAAAAGAAGGAGGUAACUUGGUUUGAGUGUCCUCAAGGAGUAGAACACAGACAACUAUCAAAGAUGCUGCAGAGGAAAGUCCUUGAGUGAAGGUCAGUUUGCAUCCCCUUCUAAUGCCAAUAGCUUAUGAUCAUCAAUCAAUAUUCAAUUUGUGUCUUCCUGACUUUCAAACACAUAUCCUGAUAUUUCUCCAACUAGAUGUUCCUUCUGCAAUGAAGGUGAGAUGGCAGAGAACCCAACAUGAGGUUGAAUUAUUCCGAGCAAACGUCCCUGGCCUCAUGUGUCAAUUAAAAGCCAUUGAAUUUUAGGUCCCCCUCACCUCUGAAAUUCUUAAACAAGAAAGAUAUAAAAAGGAAAUAAACUAUAUGAAGGUGUAGAUAAUAAAUGGUUACAUUUUGCAGCAGUGUUCUUACAUUUAGAAAACACCAAAUCUUUUAUGCUAGAUUUGUUUCUUUUUUUAAUGGUAGAGAUUUUAAGCUGCUCAAUAAAGUCCAUUUUCUCUUCUUCCUAAAAGUCCAUUUUCUCUUCUUCCUAAGUACACAACUGGACUACAUUUCCCAGCAGCCCUUAGAUGUGGCCACAUGACUGAGUUUAGCCAAUGAGAGAUGAGCAGAAAAAGAUAAGCGCCACUUCCAGACCUAAACCGUAAAAAAAGCCCCAUGCAUGGUACUUAAUGCUCUUUUUCUCAUACAGCUAAUGAUUGGUUGACAGCAUGAAGCAGCAACCCCCACCCAUCAGAACUUCUUUUGACUGUUAUGUAAGCCAGAAAUUAUUUUGUUGAGCCAUUACAUGUUUGGAUUUAUUUAUUUAUUGCUGUGAUAUGGCCUGCCCUAGUUAUACAAGCCCUAAACUCAAAUUUAACUUUCUUUUAAAACAUACGAUGAAAAAUCAGGUAUUAAUACAUCAUUUUUUUAAGUUGCUGAAGCCAGAUAAUCUGGGCAAUAGUCACAGUUGCCUUUUAAAUACAUGUAGGACAAAUGCAUUUAAAUAAUGACCCAGCUGUCCACCAAAAUGUAACUUCUAAUAUAGGACAAAUAGAACUUUGAACUUAGUUAUGGCCUCUGUGUACGUAUUUAAUAAACUUUUUUUUUCUGUCUUUGAUACUUCCAAGUAGCUUAUUUAUGUUUUAUGAAAAUGGUUUCUAUAGAGGGAAAAAGAAUAAAUGAUCCCCCAAAAUAAUAUUUCCUUUUUCUGAUACCCAAUACCACUGUAUUACCCCACUUCCUCUCUGGCCAAUGAAAAUCUGUCCUGCCUACAACCUCCGCUGCCGAAGAAGCUGAAAUUAACCCAAGUAAAGCCAUUCCCCAGGCUGUCUGGCACUGUCCUAUGGCCUGGCAACAAGAGAGGAACUGAACAAUCCAUGCCUGUCCUUCAAGAAUGAGGAGUAGGAAAAGUGAGAGAAUUGCUAGUGGAGCCAGAUGGUGAAAGGAGGUAUCAGAUUUUAAUUAGGAGAUGGCAAGUCCAAACCAUGUGCAAGCUAAAUUUACGGAGGAAUUGGAAGAGCACAGA
rnacentral:lncRNA from 10 species